UCCUACAACAGGAAGGGAAGCCAAAACAG
rnacentral:piRNA from 1 species